GACGAACGCUGGCGGCGUGCCUAAUACAUGCAAGUCGAACGCUUCUUUCCUCCCGAGCGCUUGCACUCCAUUGGAAAGAGGAGUGGCGGACGGGUGAGUAACACGCGGGUAACCUACCCAUCAGAGGGGGAUAACACUUGGAAACAGGUGCUAAUACCGCAUAACAGUUUAUGCCGCAUGGCAUAAGAGUGAAAGGCGCUUUCGGGUGUCGCUGAUGGAUGGACCCGCGGUGCAUUAGCUAGUUGGUGAGGUAACGGCUCACCAAGGCCACGAUGCAUAGCCGACCUGAGAGGGUGAUCGGCCACACUGGGACUGAGACACGGCCCAGACUCCUACGGGAGGCAGCAGUAGGGAAUCUUCGGCAAUGGACGAAAGUCUGACCGAGCAACGCCGCGUGAGUGAAGAAGGUUUUCGGAUCGUAAAACUCUGUUGUUAGAGAAGAACAAGGACGUUAGUAACUGAACGUCCCCUGACGGUAUCUAACCAGAAAGCCACGGCUAACUACGUG
rnacentral:rRNA from 1 species